CUCUUCGGAGUUAGUGGCGGACGGGUGAGUAACACGUGGGAACGUGCCUUUAGGUUCGGAAUAACUCAGGGAAACUUGUGCUAAUACCGAAUGUGCCCUUCGGGGGAAAGAUUUAUCGCCUUUAGAGCGGCCCGCGUCUGAUUAGCUAGUUGGUGAGGUAAAGGCUCACCAAGGCGACGAUCAGUAGCUGGUCUGAGAGGAUGAUCAGCCACAUUGGGACUGAGACACGGCCCAAACUCCUACGGGAGGCAGCAGUGGGGAAUCUUGCGCAAUGGGCGAAAGCCUGACGCAGCCAUGCCGCGUGAAUGAUGAAGGUCUUAGGAUUGUAAAAUUCUUUCAGUAGGGACGAUAAUGACGGUACCUACAGAAGAAGCCCCGGCUAACUUCGUGCCAGCAGCCGCGGUAAUACGAAGGGGGCUAGCGUUGCUCGGAAUUACUGGGCGUAAAGGGAGCGUAGGCGGACAUUUAAGUCAGGGGUGAAAUCCCGGGGCUCAACCUCGGAAUUGCCUUUGAUACUGGGUGUCUUGAGUGUGAGAGAGGUAUGUGGAACUCCGAGUGUAGAGGUGAAAUUCGUAGAUAUUCGGAAGAACACCAGUGGCGAAGGCGACAUACUGGCUCAUUACUGACGCUGAGGCUCGAAAGCGUGGGGAGCAAACAGGAUUAGAUACCCUGGUAGUCCACGCCGUAAACGAUGAUUGCUAGUUGUCGGGAUGCAUGCAUUUCGGUGACGCAGCUAACGCAUUAAGCAAUCCGCCUGGGGAGUACGGUCGCAAGAUUAAAACUCAAAGGAAUUGACGGGG
rnacentral:rRNA from 1 species